rnacentral:rRNA from 1 species
AUGUGUAACAGGGAAGGAUUCAAGUCCAAAGAUAGUAAGGAGAUCGAUAACCCCUCGAAGAAAAAGCGUAAGCAGGCAAACACACGAUGUGGUUGUGAUGCACACAUCUUUGUGAGAAUUUGUGGGGAGAACACCUACAAGAUAGAUUCAUGGGUUGAGCACCACGUUCAUGGUCUUGUAUCGCCUGAUAAGCGUCAUUUGAUCAGAUCGAAUCGUAGAGUUAGUGAGAGGGCAAAGAAUACUCUAUUUACAUGUCACAAGGCAAGCAUUGCACCUCUCAGGCGUACAGGUUACUCCAAGUUAGUGAGGGUGGGAUUUCGAAUGUUAGGUGCAUGA